UCCUUGGUAUCUCAGAUGGUAGAGAAUCUGCCUGCAGUGCAGGAGACCUGGGUUCAGUCCCUGGGUUGGGAA
rnacentral:tRNA from 1 species